AAUGAACGUUGGCGGCGUGGAUUAGGCAUGCAAGUCGAGCGAGAAAGAUCCGGUGCUUGCAUUGGAUCUGGAAAGCGGCGAAAGGGAGAGUAACGCGUAGGGUACCUACCCCAGGUCUGGGAUAGCGGCGGGAAACCGCCGGUAAUACUGGAUAAUGUCCCCGGACCAAAGGUGAGAUUCCGCCUGGGGAUGGUCCUGCGUCCUAUUAGCUUGUUGGUGAGGUAACGGCUCACCAAGGCAAAGAUGGGUAGCGGGCGUGAGAGCGUGGCCCGUCUCACUGGGGCUGAGACACUGCCCAGACACCUACGGGUGGCUGCAGUCGAGAAUCUUCCGCAAUGGACGCAAGUCUGACGGAGCGACGCCGCGUGCGGGAUGAAGGCCUUCGGGUUGUAAACCGCUGUCAGUGGGGUGGAAAUCCUAUGGGGCAAUCUCCAUAGGUUGACCUAACCGCAGAGGAAGUCCGGGCUAAGUACGUG
rnacentral:rRNA from 1 species